UGCCAUGAGAAGUGGAAGGUUGAGGAGGAAAAAUACUACCAUCAAAAUAAACAUAUUUUUCCUGACUUAAACCUAGGCAGUGUGGCUUGUGAUGUGCGGUGCCUAUCAGCACAUCAAAUUUCUACCAUCUUUUAUUACUCUGUGUAAAGAAGUGAUUGCAUAUUCAUGAAUCAUUUUGUUUUUCCAGACUGCUUCUGAGCCCUGGAGGAAGGUUAAGCACUUUCUUGCCUGGAGCUCUGCAACUGGUGACUACAGCUCAUGUAACACAGAUUGGAACACAAGAAAUUCAGUGGGAACUGUGGUGGAUGCUUAAGAAAAGAAAGGAAGAGGAAACAAUAAUUUAUAGAUGAGUAAAAUAUGCAUGCCCAUGUAAAUCACUCAAAUAUCUUAAAUAGUUUAUAUUGUGAAUCUAAAAAUUAAAUAUGUUAAUUUGUGUUGAAAUAAGUUAA